rnacentral:lncRNA from 1 species
CUUUACGGUUUUGCAGCAUUCAUAAUUGAUGUGAAAUAAGGAAGAUAAUCCUUUUUUUUUUUUUGAGACAGAGUCUCACUCUUUUGCCCAGGCUGGAGUCAGUGUUGUAAUCACUGCUCACUUGGCAGCCUCGACCUCCUGGGCUCAAGUGAUCCUCCCACCCCAGCCUCCCAAGUAGCUGGGACCACAGGCAUGUGCCACCAUUCCUGAUUUUUUUUAUUUUUUGCAGAGACAGGGUCUCACUGUGUUGCCUAGGCUGGUCUCGAACCUUGGCGUCCCAAAGUGUUGAGAUUAUAGGCAUGAGCCACUGUGCCCAGCCACUUAUUUUUCUGAGUAACCUUUAAGGAUGUAUUGUGGACAUUUUCAAACAUGAGUCAUAUAUUUUUGCUGGUACUCCCAUCUACCUCCCCACCAUUCUCCUUCCCUGGAUAUAUAUAUAACCAUGUUUGUCCACUGGGACAAAACCAUUUUCACAAUCAUACUAAGCUGUCAUUUCACAUUUUUGCUGUGCACUGAUAGUGUGAAAGCAAUGGCAGGUAAAACUGCUGAGCCUGAGUUCAAAGCAGGGCAGUAGCCCUGAGGUUGGUUGUUCAUAUUCUUCUCCACUGGGAAAUGCAGUAAAGAAAAAGAAAAGCUAAUUUCACUUAAUUUCUUUUCUUUUCUUUUUUUUUUUUUUCUUUUGAGACGGAGUCUCGCUCUGUCGCCCAGGCUGGAGUGCAAUGGCGUGAUCUCGGCUCACUGCAACCUCCACCUCCACGGUUCACGCCAUUCUCCUGCCUCAGCCUCCCGAGUAGCUGGGACUACAGGUGUGCGCCAUCUUGCCCAGCUACUUUUUUGUAUUUUUAGUAGAGAUGGGGUUUCACCAUGUUAGACAGGAUGGUGUCGAUCUUCUGACCUCAUAAUCCGCCCACCUCGGCCUCCCAAAGUGCUGGGAUUACAGGCAUGAGCCACUGCGCCUGGCCCUCUUUUUCUUUUUGAGAUGGAGUAUUGCUCUGUCGCCCAGGCUGGAGUGCAGUGGCACAAUCUUGGCUCACUGCAACCUCCGCCUCCCGGGUUCAAGCAGUUCUCAUGCUUCAGCCCUCUAAGUAGCUGGGAUGACAGGUGUGCGCUACCACACCCGGCUAAUUUUUGUAUUUUUAGUAGAGAUGGGGUUUUACCAUGUUGGCCAGGCUGGUCUCAAACUCAUGACCUCAAGUAAUCUGCCCGCCUCAGUCUCCCAAAAUGCUGGCAUUACAGGCAUGAGCCACCGUGCCUGGCCUACUUUCACUGAAUUUCUGUGAUGAAACGGGAAAAAUUAAUUUUGUUAAAUCUCAAGUAGAACUAUAUUGUCAUUAUCACAUCUAAACAGAUAUCAUCAAAUACCUAGUGUUCAGAUGUUCUGGGUUGCCUCAUAAAUUUUGUUUUCUAUUUGUUUCAUAGUAAUCAUAAUCUAAACAAGAUCCACACAGUGCAUUUGGUUGGAAUUUUUCUUUUUUCUUUUUCUUUUUUUUUUUUGUGAUGGAGACUUGCUCUGUCACGUGGUUCACUGCAACCUCCCAGGUUCAAGCAAUUCUCCUGCCUCAGCCUGGGUGACAGAGCUAGACUCCAUCUCGAAAAAAAUAAAAGAACUUCCCGUGUCCGUUUUUGCUUUUUGGAUGCUGGGAGUGUCACAACUCAGCUAUCCAAUCAAGGCAGAGCUGGCCUCCAGGAUGCCAGAGCCAGAGCUUUGUGGUUCAUCUCUAGAGGUUCAACAGGACCCUGUGGAUGGCCCAAGUUCGUUUCUCUGCACUUACCUCUUCGGGGUUGUCCUCAAAACGUUGCCGUGUCAGCUCUCACUUUUCACAGCAACUCUGGCCUCCUACCUUGGACUGCGCCACUUCUGUCUCCUUAGAUAACCUCCAUUCGCAUAGCUAAAUGCUGCACCCUCCGACACUGCCACAAUAAUAGUUCUGUGAGUUAGUACCAUUUUAUAGAUAGGCAAAAUUUGGCACAGGACAAAAGUUAGUGGUAACUAGAACAAAAGUAACCAGCCCAAGCUAGGAAGUGGUGGAGUUAGAAUUUGAUGUCAGCACCCAGCUGACCAUGGCUUAAACAGAUGAGGCUUUGUUCAAAGGCUGUCUUUUCAGUGGCUCAGCUGUGUCACAGUCGAUGUUUUCUGCAAUCUCUCAACCUUUCCAUUGUGGUCAUGAGGAGACUCCUAUGGCUCCAGCCAUUGCAUCCACAGUGAAGACUGAAAGAAGGGGGAAUGGGCAGGCCAACACUUACCGCUGAUGGUGUUUAAAGGAAAAACAUUCCCAGAAGCCUGCAGCACAUGCCCCCCUUAGUCUCACUGGCCACAGAUGGGUCAGGGGGCCACCCCUAAUAACAACGGGGCUUAGAAACCUCGUAUUUACCUUUCUAACCUCUGUGGUGGAGACAGGUGGGAGAGAAAAGUCCUGGGAAGUGGAUGAUGGAGGCAGCUAGCCGUAGCUGCUGCUUUUCUCUUCAAGCUCUUGGGAGAAUUGCUUGUGCUCCCUAUUCCCUUGGUGGAUGAUGGAGGCAGCUAGCCGUAUCUGCUGCUUUUCUCCUUCAAGCUCUUGGGAGAAUCGCUUGUGCUCCCUAUUCCCUUGGUGGCAGCUCACACCUCAGACCUGCUGUCCGCCCCCACUGCUUCACAGAACCCACUGCAACCACUGUCCAAGGUACUACCUCUGGUGUCGUCUCUCUUCAUCCCCAGGACUGUGAAGCCUGCUAACCUCUUUGCAGAGCUCCAUCUCCUUGCAUUGUGGGGUUCCUUCUAACUCUUCAGGGACUUCUCAACCUCCCGUCACCCUUCCUAAAUGCUGGGGUCCUAGAGUCCACCUUGUGCUCCACGCCCUCCCCAGGUGUCAUCUACAUCCCUAGCUUUGUGCUGCUCACCACCAAAUCAGUCUGGUGCUUCUGAGAUUUGGGCUUCAGACCCAAACAACUGCUGUGUGCUACUGGGCAACUCCCCGAGGUGUGCCGAAAGCUCCCCAAACCCAGCCUACCCCAAACAAAACUCAUUUUCCACCCAGACUAGUCUCUGCUUCCCUGAUCCCUUUCCUGGAGGCUGUUUCCACUUGCCAUCCCAUCAUGGAAGCCAGAAAACCAGUCUUCUUGACCUCUCCCCUUCCCCACUCCAUGGAGUUAGAGGUCCUGUUGAUUUUGCCAUGUAAACAUUUCGGAUUUGCUUACUUCAUCCCCACUGCCACCAACAGUGCAGGAUGGCCCUAAGAGGAGAAGUAAUGUGCUACCAAGUGGCCCAGCCAGAGUGUGAACCAAACAGUCUGGUACCAAAACCCUAUUCUGGAUCAUUCCUCCUUUCUGCUCCACCAGCAGUUUGGGGCACAGGCUUGGGAAUCCAGACAGGAAAGCUCCUCCCCUCUGAAGCAGUGGGACCAAAAAUGACAGCAUGGUUCUAGACAGCUCUGGAAGUCAGGCCUGUGAUUGCCUCAUUCCCUCCACCUUGGCCCCCAAAAUGGCCAGUCCUGAAGGGGUCACAGUUGAUACUUCUCUGAGGGGGCAUGGGGUUGGCUGAGGUUAUAGCAGCCCCACAGGGUGGUAAGCUGGGAUGAAGCAAUCAACUGGAACUCAACAAGCCUUGAGUUCUCAAAGGGGGUGUGGGAAGGUUCUUAUACAUCUUCUAUGAAGGGCAGUUUAUCAGUCACUAAAUUACAAAUACAUAAACCCUUUGU